rnacentral:rRNA from 1 species
GAUGAACGCUGGCGGCGUGCUUAACACAUGCAAGUCGAACGAUGAAGCCCAGCUUGCUGGGUGGAUUAGUGGCGAACGGGUGAGUAGCACGUGAGUAACCUGCCCUUAACUCUGGGAUAAGCCUGGGAAACUGGGUCUAAUACCGGAUAGGAGCGUCCACCGCAUGGUGGGUGUUGGAAAGAUUUAUCGGUUUUGGAUGGACUCGCGGCCUAUCAGCUUGUUGGUGAGGUAAUGGCUCACCAAGGCGACGACGGGUAGCCGGCCUGAGAGGGUGACCGGCCACACUGGGACUGAGACACGGCCCAGACUCCUACGGGAGGCAGCAGUGGGGAAUAUUGCACAAUGGGCGAAAGCCUGAUGCAGCGACGCCGCGUGAGGGAUGACGGCCUUCGGGUUGUAAACCUCUUUCAGUAGGGAAGAAGCGAAAGUGACGGUACCUGCAGAAGAAGCACCGGCUAACUACGUG